rnacentral:rRNA from 1 species
GACGAACGCUGGCGGCGUGCUUAACACAUGCAAGUCGAACGCUGAAGACCUGGCUUUUGUUGGGUUGGAUGAGUGGCGAACGGGUGAGUAACACGUGAGUAACCUGCCCCCUUCUUUGGGAUAACGCCCGGAAACGGGUGCUAAUACUGGAUAUUCACUGGCCUUCGCAUGGGGGUUGGUGGAAAGGUUUGUUCUGGUGGGGGAUGGGCUCGCGGCCUAUCAGCUUGUUGGUGGGGUGAUGGCCUACCAAGGCUUUGACGGGUAGCCGGCCUGAGAGGGUGACCGGUCACAUUGGGACUGAGAUACGGCCCAGACUCCUACGGGAGGCAGCAGUGGGGAAUAUUGCACAAUGGGCGAAAGCCUGAUGCAGCGACGCCGCGUGAGGGAUGGAGGCCUUCGGGUUGUAAACCUCUUUCGCUCAUGGUCAAGCCGCAACUGUGGGUUGUGGUGAGGGUAGUGGGUAAAGAAGCGCCGGCUAACUACGUGCCAGCAGCCGCGGUAAUACGUAGGGCGCGAGCGUUGUCCGGAAUUAUUGGGCGUAAAGGGCUUGUAGGCGGUUGGUCGCGUCUGCCGUGAAAUCCUCUGGCUUAACUGGGGGCGUGCGGUGGGUACGGGCUGACCUGAGUGCGGUAGGGGAGACUGGAACUCCUGGUGUAGCGGUGGAAUGCGCAGAUAUCAGGAAGAACACCGGUGGCGAAGGCGGGUCUCUGGGCCGUUACUGACGCUGAGGAGCGAAAGCGUGGGGAGCGAACAGG